GACGUAGGGCGCGAGCGUUGUCCGGAUUUAUUGGGCGUAAAGAGCUCGUAGGCGGCUUGUCGCGUCGACCGUGAAAACUUGGGGCUCAACCCCAAGCCUGCGGUCGAUACGGGCAGGCUCGAGCUCGGUAGGGGAGACUGGAAUUCCUGGUGUAGCGGUGAAAUGCGCAGAUAUCAGGAGGAACACCGAUGGCGAAGGCAGGUCUCUGGGCCGAUACUGACGCUGAGGAGCGAAAGCGUGGGGAGCGAACAGG
rnacentral:rRNA from 1 species